rnacentral:rRNA from 1 species
AGGCCCCUACGGGGCGCAGCAGUGGGGAAUAUUGCACAAUGGGGGGAACCCUGAUGCAGCGACGCCGCGUGGGUGAAGGAGCACCUCGGUGCGUAAAGCCCUAUCGGCAGGGAAGAAACAGACGGUACCUGACUAAGAAGCCCCGGCUAACUACGUGCCAGCAGCCGCGGGAAUACGUAGGGGGCAAGCGUUAUCCGGAUUCACUGGGUGUAAAGGGAGCGGAGACGGCGACGCAAGUCUGGAGUGAAAGCCCGGGGCCCAACCCC